UACGUAGGGAGCAAGCGUUGUCCGGAAUCAUUGGGCGUAAAGCGCGCGUAGGUGGCCUCAUAAGUCCGCUGUGAAAGUCAAAGGCUCAACCUUUGAAAGCCGGUGGAUACUGUGGGGCUAGAGUACGGAAGAGGCGAGUGGAAUUCCUGGUGUAGCGGUGAAAUGCGCAGAUAUCGGGAAGAACACCCGUGGCGAAGGCGGCACUCUGGGACGGUACGUGACGCUGAGACGCGAAAGCGUGGGGAGCGAACAGG
rnacentral:rRNA from 1 species